CAUUUUCCACUUUCAUUUUCUACAGAUGAUUUACAAUGCUUUUUUUUAUUCCAGUCGAAUGUUAUUAAAAGGUUGGAAGAAAGAGAAAGAGAAAUCAUGCGGUUAAAGGAAGAGUUGGGAAGGCAAGAAUUGGAGUUGAAUAAUCAAAAGGAUCAAUAUAGCGAUGCACUUAAAGAUUUGUCGCUGGCGACAAAAGCUAAA